rnacentral:rRNA from 1 species
CCUACGGGAGGCAGCAGUGGGGAAUAUUGGGCAAUGGACGCAAGUCUGACCCAGCAACGUCGCGUGAAGGAAGAAGGCUCUCGGGUUGGAAACCUCCUUUAAGGGGGAAGAGCAGAAGACGGUACCCCUUGAAUAAUCCACGGCUAACUACGGGCCAGCAGCCGCGGUAAUACGUAGGUGGCAAGCGUUGUCCGGAUUUACUGGGUGUAAAGGGCGUGCAGCUGGAGAGACAAGUCAGCUGUGAAAUCCACGGGCUCAACCCGUGAACUGCCUUUGAAACUGUUUGCCUUGAGUGUAGGGGAGGUAAUCGGAAUGCGUUGUGUAGCGGUGAAAUGCGUAGAUAUAAGGAAGAACACCAGUGGCGAAGGCGGAUUACUGAACGAUAACUGACGGUGAGGCGCGAAAGCGUGGGGAGCAAACAGGAUUAGAUACCCGAGUAGUC